UCUUUGAAUUUGUUCUCAGUUUUCAUCUGGUUCCUGUAGGCAGCUUCUUCUAAAACAAUUUUUGAAAUCUGAUAGAUGAUAUAGAUAGCAAUACACUUUCAUAGUACAAAAAUAUCUUGUUAUUAACACAUUUAUAAUAUGUUUACUCUUGAGAUAUAAUUCUUGUGAGUGCUAAAAAUAAAACAAAUGUAUGCUAGUACAUUGAUGACUAAAAAUAUAGAUUAUUCUGUCAUCUUAUCUUCCUUGCAUCCGCUAGACUUUUAGUUGCUUCAUGGUGUUUAGUUGUUUAGUAAAACUUUUCUGUUCUCAAGCUUAUUAACAUGAUCACAUAACAUGUGGACCUUGAUAUGUUGGUUCCUUCACUUAAACACAGUAUGUAGGAAUUCUUAAACCAUAAUAUAUUAGUACUUUGAAUUUAUCACGAUAAUAAGCUUGCUUAAAAAGUAAUGCUGAUCUUUUGAAAAUUUUUGCUUUCUUUUCCUUGGAAAUUUUGUGGUCUUAAUGCUUUCUUUCGAUCUUCUGCACCAUCUCUAAAUUUCUACACAAACUCUAAUCUAAUCCAAUAUUCAUUCAACAACAAAAACAGUAAAAAUGCAAAAUGUUCUUUCAUUUCUCACUUGCAAAACAACCUGCCCUCCUGUGACUGCUUUUUGCGGGCCAUCAAUUGCCUAGGGAUUACCCUUGCCACAGUCUCUUAUUCAAGGGGAAUGAAGAUUCACUCACCAGAAAACUUCAGAAAGAUGCCCACUGCUAGCUUCCCUGUGGCAGCUGUUCCGGGUUAGAAACUCGGAGUUGUGGGAAGUUGAAACAUGGGACCCAUUACAAAAAGCUUCUGAGGACAAAACUCUUUAGGUGCAGGGUUGCUUUUCCGCACAGUGAGUGUACCUAUGAGGCUUUGUAUCUGGAUAAAAGUUUGACUUCUCUUUUCUUUCCA